GGUUACGUCAAGACUUACGGCUAUUAACCGUAGGCUUUUCUUCUCUACUGAAAGUGCUUUACAACCCGCAGGCCUUCUUCACACACGCGGCAUUGCUGGAUCAGGCUUGCGCCCAUUGUCCAAUACUUCCCCA
rnacentral:rRNA from 1 species